rnacentral:rRNA from 1 species
ACCCGCUGAACUUAAGCAUAUCGAUAAGCGGAGGAAAAGAAACCAACAGGGAUUGCCCCAGUAACGGCGAGUGAAGCGGCAACAGCUCAAAUUUGAAAUCUGGCUCCGGCCCGAGUUGUAAUUUGUAGAGGAUGCUUUUGGCGAGGUGCCUUCUGAGUUCCCUGGAACGGGACGCCAGAGAGGGUGAGAGCCCCGUAUAGUCGGACACCUAGCCUCUGUAAAGCUCCUUCGACGAGUCGAGUAGUUUGGGAAUGCUGCUCAAAAUGGGAGGUAUAUCUCUUCUAAAGCUAAAUAUAGGCCAGAGACCGAUAGCGCACAAGUAGAGUGAUCGAAAGAUGGAAAGCACUUUGAAAAGAGGGUUAAAUAGCACGUGAAAUUGUUGAAAGGGAAGCGCUUGUGACCAGACUUGUGCCGGGCUGAUCAUCCAGUGUUCUCACUGGUGCACUCGACCCGGCUCAGGCCAGCGUCGGUUCUCGUGGGGGGACAAAAGCGGCGGGAACGUGGCUCCUCCGGGAGUGUUAUAGCCCGCCGUUCAAUACCCUCGUGGGGACCGAGGUUCGCGCUCUGCAAGGACGCUGGCAUAAUGGUCAUCAGCGACCCGUCUUGAAACACGG